GCCAGCCCUAGGCUGAUCCCCGAAAAACCCGUUUCCCUGACGGGCUGGGCUGGCACCUCAAUUCAGGG
rnacentral:sRNA from 1 species